ensembl:lncRNA
AUGAUGUUGAAUAUGGUCGGUUAUUUUGCUUCAGGGUUUUCUCCCAUCACAGACUUUGAACAGGUAAAAGGAAAUGCUCAUUUUCUACAUUUUAUUUGGUGCAAAGUUCAGUUCAGUCAUCCAGAGUCGCUCGCUGGUGGAUGUUUUGCUAUUAUUGUUUACUCUUCGCUGUCGUCCGCCACACAUUCAGGUCUGUUUUUGAACUAUUCUUAUUCCGUUAUUACUACAGUACUACUAUUGCUCUGUUUACUAUGGAGAUAUCAAUGUCAGCCAAAAGGACAGUCAGAUGAUCAGAUGUCAUGGAAAUGGAGAGUCAGACUCACUGGUCUUUACAGCGUUUCACUGGACUCUGUGGCCGUUCGCUCUGAGGCCCCAUCUGACACUGGACUAGGACUAAGGGUCAGAGGUCAGACAGAUGACCUCCCAGUCACUUUAUUAAACGCUCCCAAUGUCCUCCCUCCUAUCACAAUGUUACCAUGGAGAUGGAAGAAGAAUCUGGCAUAUUGUCUGAGAUUGAGAACAGAUCUUGGACAACCUUCUAUACUAAAUGAGCAAUACAAAGAGGGAGCAUCCAGAAGAAAAAUAAACAUGUUGAAGUCUCACUUUCAGGUAUUUUCCUCUUCUUCUGGGAAAUGUAAGGAGAGACAACGCUACUCCAAGCCCAGUCGCUGGGGUUUGGCUCAGCAGCGACCGCUACUCCAAGCCCAGACGCUGGGGUUUGGCUCAGCAGCGACCGCUACUCCAAGCCCAGACGCUGGGGUUUGGCUCAGCAGCGACCGCUACUCCAAGCCCAGACGCUGGGGUUUGGCUCAGCAGCGACCGCUACUCCAAGCCCAGACGCUGGGGUUUGGCUCAGCAGCGACCGCUACUCCAAGCCCAGACGCUGGGGUUUGGCUCAGCAGCGACCGCUACUCCAAGCCCAGACGCUGGGGUUUGGCUCAGCAGCGACCGCUACUCCAAGCCCAGACGCUGGGGUUUGGCUCAGCAGCGACCGCUACUCCAAGCCCAGACGCUGGGGUUUGGCUCAGCAGCGACCGCUACUCCAAGCCCAGACGCUGGGGUUUGGCUCAGCAGCGACCGCUACUCCAAGCCCAGACGCUGGGGUUUGGCUCAGCAGCGACCGCUACUCCAAGCCCAGACGCUGGGGUAUGGCUCAGCAGCGACCGCUACUCCAAGCCCAGACGCUGGGGUUUGGCUCAGCAGCGACCGCUACUCCAAGCCCAGACGCUGGGGUUUGGCUCAGCAGCGACCGCUACUCCAAGCCCAGACGCUGGGGUUUGGCUCAGCAGCGACCGCUACUCCAAGCCCAGACGCUGGGGUUUGGCUCAGCAGCGACCGCUACUCCAAGCCCAGACGCUGGGGUUAGGCUCAGCAGCGACCGCUACUCCAAGCCCAGACGCUGGGGUUUGGCUCAGCAGCGACCGCUACUCCAAGCCCAGACGCUGGGGUAUGGCUCAGCAGCGACCGCUACUCCAAGCCCAGACGCUGGGGUUUGGCUCAGCAGCGACUACAAAAGGCUUUCCUUUCUAUAAACUUUUUUAUUACAAAUACUAA